rnacentral:lncRNA from 1 species
CUGGUUUCCUUACAAGGAGUGGGAUGAAAAUGUCAUAAAGGGCCAUUAUGAGCCAAGUUUACCUUAAUUGGUCUGCGAACGCCCUACUGAGGUAGCGAGUCAUGCAGAACAUGCCGAAUCAGCCCACUACAGACAGGCAGGUCUGUGGACGCCCUACUGAGGUCGCCAGUCUCAUGGAACAUGCUGAAUCAGCCUCCUGCAGACAGGCAGGUCUGCGGACGCCCUACCCAGGUUGCGAGGCACACAGAACACGCCAAAUCAGCACACUGCAGACAAGCAGGUCUUCAGAUGCCCUACCGAGGUGGACAGUUGCACAGAACAUGCUGAAUCAGCCCGCUGCAGACAGGCAAGUCUGCGGACACCCUAUCAAGGUCGCGAAUGGCAUGGAACACACUGAAUCAGCCCGCUGCAGACAGGCAGGUCUGCGGACGCCCUACCGAGGUCGCAAGUGGCACGGAACACACCAAAUCAGCCCGCACCCCGGCAGCAAUCCACUGGACACCCCACCCGCUCCUCUGGCCUCUUCUCUGUACAGCCACCUGGUUCCACACUACAAAGACACAGAGGAUACCGGACCACCAGACCAUGGUACUGGGUGUGUCAGAAGUAGGAUCAGAACCUGGGCCAGCUGACUCCUGAACUACAGCUCCUGGCAGCAAGGCAGAGAGGCUGGUUACAAGUGGAGUCAGUCAGAGGACUCCUGGAGUCACUGUAUUGGAGUCACUGUGUUGCCUGCAUUAACCUCAAGCUGCCAGAGAAAAGGACUGCUCAUAAUAGCCCUUGAAAUAUACAGUCAUUUCCAGGCUUUCCUGCCUUGUCUCCUCCUGGGCUGGCUGUUGUCACUGCCACAAAGCUCAUUUCACCUAAGCAGAGCUGCAAUCUCUCAUGUGUAGGGAACAGGGAAAGGGGACACUACUAGAACCUCUGCAGUAAGUCGUAGUCUCCUGUGAGCCACGGCAGCACAAGGCAAAUUACAGAAGAGGUAGGAAAAUGAGACUGAAAAGAAGCUGAGCUUUGGGUUUGAUCAGUGCUGCUCUGAGUGGCAAAGAUGAAAACCCCCAGCUUACCGCACCUUUUAUUCAGUACUCAGUACAAUGGGAGAAACAAAUGUAACAAAUGACUUGCAGAGAGUUCAGUACAUCCUGCAUAAAUAAGAUGUAACAAUCCAAAAUCAAGGAGGAACUGAGUAGAUGUUUGUUCUCCCAGGAUGUUUUCAGCUCCCAGGAUGUUUCUUGUCCUGGGGAAUCACAGCAUCACUGGAUCACUGGGGUCUCAGUUGUGACCAGAGGCCAAAAUGGAAUUAUGUCUCGGAAUUCCAUAGCUGGGUUGUAGGCAGGAGAACCAGGCUAACCAAAUGAUUUUUCCCUAAAAUUAUGUAGCAUUGCUCCCAACACUCAUGAAAUCAGGUUGUGGGACCAGGUUCCAGAGAACAAAGACGCAUCCUCUGCCCUUCCCUCGUCUUGAAUUCUGGGAAUGUCCACCCAGGUGAACUCCCCAGAUCAUCAUCCAUGUUUUUCUUCUCCAGAAUACCUCUAAGGUAGGGCAGAAUCUGAAAUCCUGGUUGGAAUCUAUGCCAUUUUCUAGCUCUGUUACAUAAACAUAUAACUUAAUGUAGUGCCAGAGUCUUCAGUUGUAAAAUGGUAUAAUGGUGCUGAGCUUAUGGUGGUGUAGUGAGGACUCAAAAUGAUAAAUACAGAUGGGGAACUUAGUAUGUAGUGUGAAUUCAUAGUUAUUCUGUUAUCUAUUAUUAU